GGCGACUCUCCGGCGAGGUUCGUGUUUUGGUGAUUUGGCUUUGGUCAACCUGUAGAGAAAAGAAUGGUGAUCACGGUGAUAUAAAAAUUGCAUCGAACGGAGGCCGGGAAGGGCCUCGUCGGAGGCAAAAACCGAGAGGGGGCGCGGCGGCGCCGCUGGGCUUCAGCAGCGUAUUCCGGCCGUUUGGCCGGGAUUUCGGCUUCGAUUUGGCCAUAGGAGGAAUCAGUGGGGAAGAACGAGUCGGGGGUAUGAAAUUUACCUCGAUCGGCGGUCGGAAAUUUCCCCGGUGCGGCGGCGAGUGGCGGCGGGUGGCGGCGGUCGGCCUCUGGUUCGUCUUCUCCGGCGAGCGGCUGGCGGCUAGGGUUUGUGGUCUGGUGUGGGGGUUCUAUUUAUAACCCCUUGCCUUUUGAUCACAGCCGUUCAUUUCGUUUUAAUCUGGGCCGUUCGUUUUUGAUUGAAUCUGGGCCGUCCGUGCGUUUGAAUCUGGGCCGUCCGAUCGCGCGAUUGAUCUGGGCCAUCGGAUCGCACCCACGCGGAUCGCCAACGUGGCUCCUUUCGGAGUGACGCGAUCUUGCCACGUGGCAGGCCCUGGUUGGCCGGGACUGCUGACCGG
rnacentral:lncRNA from 1 species